rnacentral:lncRNA from 1 species
AAAAAAAAAAAAAGAAAAAAAAAAAAAAAAAAAAAAAAAAAGAGGGCGGCCACGUCAGCAGCCACGUCAGCAGGCCCAGUCAGCAGUCCCGGCCAACCAGGGCCUGCCACGUGGCAAGACCGCGUCACUCCAAAAGGAGCCACGUUGGCGAUCCGCGUGGGUGCGAUCCGACGGCCCAGAUCAAUCACGCGAUCGGACGGCCCAGAUUCAAUCGCACGGACGGCCCAGAUUCAAUCAAAAACGAACGGCCCAGAUUAAAACAAAAUGAACGGCUGUGAUCAAAAGGCAAGGGGUUAUAAAUAGAACCCCCACACCAGACCACAAACCCUAGCCGCCAGCCACUCGCCGGAGAAGACGAACCAGAGGCCGACCGCCGCCACCCGCCGCCACUCGCCGCCGCACCGGGGAAAUUUCCGACCGCCGAUCGAGGUUGACCGGAGCCGAAUCACCAAAACACGAACCUCGCCGGAGAGCCGCUGCACCCGAGAGCGCCGCCGCCGGUAAGCUCCGUUUUUCCGUGAUUUUUUGGCCCCCCGAGGGCCCUAGGGCUGUUUUCUGACAAGGACCAAUGCGAGUGUGGCCGAAUUCGGCCGAAAACGGCCGAAAACAGUCAACCCGAGGCGACUCGCCGCCGCCAGCGGCGGCGCCGUCGCCGGAGCACGGCGGAGCCGCCGUGCCGGAGUUGCGAUUUGGUCCGAAAGGGGCCCUGGGCCUAAUUUGGAUUUUUUUUGGAACACGUGCAGGUACUGUUAGUGUGUUUCAGUUCCCCGGGAAAAAUUCAGGGAAAAUUAGGGAAGGCCUGCAGGCGCACUGUGAAUCGUAUUCGGAUCUCGAAAACA